rnacentral:RNase_P_RNA from 1 species
AAGGUAUGCCAAGCGGCUGCUAAAGUAUAUCUUUAGAGGAAAGUCCGGGCUGCAAUAAGACAAGGUUCCAUCUAACAGAUGGCUGGGGUAACCCAAGGGAAAGUGCAACAGAAAGCAGACUACCGAGAAAUCGGAAAAGGUGAAACGGCGGGGUAAGAGCCCACCAGCGUCUUUAGCAAUUUAGACGGCUUUGUAAACCCAACCUGCAGCAAGAAGAGAUGGUUUAGUCUUAUAUUUUUACUCUUCGCUUGAGCGGUACUGUGAAGUAUCGCCCAGAUAAAUAGUCGCUCACGACAGAACCCGGCUUAUGGCAUGCCUUGGUU